GACGAACGCUGGCGGCGUGCUUAACACAUGCAAGUCGAACGGAAAGGCCCUGCUUUUGUGGGGUGCUCGAGUGGCGAACGGGAGAGUAACACGUGAGUAACCUGCCCUUGACUUUGGGAUAACUUCAGGAAACUGGGGCUAAUACCGGAUAGGAGCUCCUGCUGCAUGGUGGGGGUUGGAACGUUUCGGCGGUUGGGGAUGGACUCGCGGCUUAUCAGCUUGUUGGUGGGGUAGUGGCUUACCAAGGCUUUGACGGGUAGCCGGCCUGAGAGGGUGACCGGCCACAUUGGGACUGAGAUACGGCCCAGACUCCUACGGGAGGCAGCAGUGGGGAAUAUUGCACAAUGGGCGGAAGCCUGAUGCAGCAACGCCGCGUGCGGGAUGACGGCCUUCGGGUUGUAAACCGCUUUCGCCUGUGACGAAGCGUGAGUGACGGUAAUGGGUAAAGAAGCACCGGCUAACUACGUG
rnacentral:rRNA from 1 species